AUGAACGCUAGCGAUAGGCCUAACACAUGCAAGUCGAGGGGCAUCACAAAGAGUAGCAAUACUUUUGGUGGCGACCGGCGGAUGGGUGAGUAACACGUAUGCAACCUACCUUCUACAUUGGGAUAACCCGUUGAAAGACGGACUAAUACCGAAUAAUACAGGGGCGCCACAUGGUGAUAUUUGUUAAAGUUUCGAGCAAUCGAUUCGGUAGAAGAUGGGCAUGCGUAUGAUUAGCUAGUUGGUGAGGUAACGGCUCACCAAGGCAACGAUCAUUAGGGGUUCUGAGAGGAAGGUCCCCCACACUGGUACUGAGACACGGACCAGACUCCUACGGGAGGCAGCAGUGAGGAAUAUUGGUCAAUGGGCGCGAGCCUGAACCAGCCAAGUCGCGUGAAGGAAGACUGUCCUAUGGAUUGUAAACUUCUUUUGUACAGGAAUAAAGUGUUCUACGUGUAGGAUUUUGCAUGUACUGUACGAAUAAGGAUCGGCUAACUCCGUG
rnacentral:rRNA from 1 species